rnacentral:rRNA from 1 species
AACAAGGAUUCCCCUAGUAACGGCGAGUGAAGCGGGAAGAGCUCAAAUUUAAAAUCUGGCGGUGUAUUCCGUCCGAGUUGUAGUCUAGAGAAGCGUCAUCCGCGCUGGACCAUGUACAAGUCUCUUGGAACAGAGCGUCAUAGAGGGUGAGAAUCCCGUCCUUGACAUGGACUCCCAGUGCUUUGUGUUGUGCUCUCGACGAGUCGAGUUGUUUGGGAAUGCAGCUCAAAAUGGGUGGUAAAUUCCAUCUAAAGCUAAAUAUUGGCGAGAGACCGAUAGCGAACAAGUACCGUGAGGGAAAGAUGAAAAGCACUUUGGAGAGAGAGUUAAACAGUACGUGAAAUUGUUAAAAGGGAAAC